CCCUUAGAUGUCCGGGGCUGCACGCGCGCCACACUGAGUGGAUCAGCGUGUGUCUACCCUUCGCCGGGAGGCGUGGGUAACCCGCUGAACCCCACUCGUGAUAGGGAUUGGGGAUUGCAAUUAUUUCCCAUGAACGAGGAAUUCCCAGUAAGCGCGGGUCAUAAGCUCGCGUUGAUUAAGUCCCUGCCCUUUGUACACACCGCCCGUCGCUACUACCGAUUGGAUGGUUUAGUGAGGUCCUCGGAUCGGCCCCGCCGGGGUCGGUCACGGCCCUGGCGGAGCGCCGAGAAGACGAUCAAACUUGACGAUCUAGAGGAAGUAAAAGUCGUAACA
rnacentral:rRNA from 1 species